rnacentral:rRNA from 1 species
UGGCCAACGGGUGAGUAACACGUGGGAAAUCUGCCUAAGAGUGGGGGAUAACAUUCGGAAACGGAUGCUAAUACCGCAUAUAUUCUUGAACCGCAUGGUUCUGGAAAGAAAGACGGCUUUGCUGUCGCUUUUAGAUGAUCCCGCGGCGUAUUAGUUAGUUGGUGGGGUAAUGGCUUACCAAGACCAUGAUACGUAGCCGACCUGAGAGGGUGAUCGGCCACACUGGGACUGAGACACGGCCCAGACUCCUACGGGAGGCAGCAGUAGGGAAUCUUCCACAAUGGGUGCAAACCUGAUGGAGCAAUGCCGCGUGAAUGAAGAAGGUCUUCGGAUCGUAAAGUUCUGUUAUUAGAGAAGAACAAGUCGAGGAGUAACUGUCUCGACUUUGACGGUACCUAACCAGAAAGUCACGGCUAACUACGUGCCAGCAGCCGCGGUAAUACGUAGGUGACAAGCGUUGUCCGGAAUUAUUGGGCGUA